AGGAACAUUAACAUGAAGAUUCUGGGAUACGAGCUGAUGACAACAUCAGAAAAAGAUGUGUAUGGAGCUGAUGCGUUUAUUGUCGCAGACAAGACAAAUGGGUACUUCUUCUACACAGUGUAUGGGGGCUGACUUGCAGGGACAGCGCAUUUCUCUGGAUUUUGAAAUCUGCACCGUCACCUAAUUUUCAGUUAUAAAUAAUGUUUUUAACCUU